GGGCUCAUGGCGCAAUGGCUAGCGCGCCUCGAUGGCAUCGAGGAGGCUGCGGGUUCGAGUCCCGCUGAGUCCA
rnacentral:tRNA from 1 species